rnacentral:rRNA from 1 species
CGGCUUAANUCNNNGCCNNGCNGNGNGGUUAAUNCNGNAGGGNUGNCNAGCGUUAAUNGGAAUUACUNGGGNCGUAAAGCGCAUUGCAGUGGUUUGUUAAGUCAGAUGUGAAGCCCGGGGCUCAACCCUNGGAAUUGCAUUUGAAACUGACAAACUUAGAGUACUGUAGAGGGGGGGUAGAAAUUUCAGGUGUAGCGGUGAAAUGCGUAGAGAUNUGAAGGAAUACNGGUGGCGAAGGCGGCCCCCUGGACAGAUACUGACACUCAGAUGCGAAAGCGUGGGGAGCAAACAGGAUUAGAUACCCUGGUAGUCCACGCCCGUAAAACGAUGUCUACUUGGAGGUUGUGGCCUUGAGCCGUGGCUUUCGGAGCUAACGCGUUAAGUAGACCGCCUGGGGAGUACGGUCGCAAGAUUAAAACUCAAAUGAAUUGACGGGGGCCCGCACAAGCGGUGGAGCAUGUGGUUUAAUUCGAUGCAACGCGAAGAACCUUACCUACUCUUGACAUCUACAGAAGCCAGCGGAGACGCAGGUGUGCCUUCGGGAACUGUAAGACAGGUGCUGCAUGGCUGUCGUCAGCUCGUGUUGUGAAAUGUUGGGUUAAGUCCCGCAACGAGCGCAAUCCUUAUCCUUGUUUGCCAGCACUUCGGGUGGGAACUCCAGGGAGACUGCCGGUGAUAAACCGGAGGAAGGUGGGGACGACGUCAAGUCAUCAUGGCCCUUACGAGUAGGGCUACACACGUGCUACAAUGGCGCAUACAGAGGGCGGCCAACUUGCGAAAGUGAGCGAAUCCCAAAAAGUGCGUCGUAGUCCGGAUUGGAGUCUGCAACUCGACUCCAUGAAGUCGGAAUCGCUAGUAAUCGUGGAUCAGAAUGCCACGGUGAAUACGUUCCCGGGCCUUGUACACACCGCCCGUCACACCAUGGGAGUGGGCUGCAAAAGAAGUGGGUAGUUUAACCUUCGGGAGGACGCUCACCACUUUGUGGUUCAUGACUGGGGUGAAGUCGUAACAANNAACCG